CAUGCAAGUCGAGCGCGGGAAGCUUGUCUGAUCUCUUCGGAGUGAAGCGAGUGGAACGAGCGGCGGACGGGUGAGUAACACGUGGGCAACCUACCUAUAAGACUGGGAUAACUCCGGGAAACCGGGGCUAAUACCGGAUAACACUUUUCUUCACAUGAAGGGAAGUUGAAAGAUGGCUUCUUGCUAUCACUUACAGAUGGGCCCGCGGCGCAUUAGCUAGUUGGUGAGGUAAGAGCUCACCAAGGCGACGAUGCGUAGCCGACCUGAGAGGGUGAUCGGCCACACUGGGACUGAGACACGGCCCAGACUCCUACGGGAGGCAGCAGUAGGGAAUCUUCCGCAAUGGACGAAAGUCUGACGGAGCAACGCCGCGUGAACGAAGAAGGUUUUCGGAUCGUAAAGUUCUGUUGUUAGGGAAGAACAAGUACCGUUCGAAUAGGGCGGUACCUUGACGGUACCUAUCGAGGAAGCCCCGGCUAACUACGUGCCAGCAGCCGCGGUAAUACGUAGGGGGCAAGCGUUGUCCGGAAUUAUUGGGCGUAAAGCGCGCGCAGGCGGUUUCUUAAGUCUGAUGUGAAAUCUUGUGGCUCAACCACAAGCGGUCAUUGGAAACUGGGGAACUUGAGUACAGAAGAGGAGAGCGGAAUUCCACGUGUAGCGGUGAAAUGCGUAGAUAUGUGGAGGAACCCCAGUGGCGAAGGCGGCUCUCUGGUCUGUAACUGACGC
rnacentral:rRNA from 1 species